GAUGAACGCUGGCGGCGUGCCUAAUACAUGCAAGUCGAGCGAAUGGAUUAAGAGCUUGCUCUUAUGAAGUUAGCGGCGGACGGGUGAGUAACACGUGGGUAACCUGCCCAUAAGACUGGGAUAACUCCGGGAAACCGGGGCUAAUACCGGAUAACAUUUUGAACCGCAUGGUUCGAAAUUGAAAGGCGGCUUCGGCUGUCACUUAUGGAUGGACCCGCGUCGCAUUAGCUAGUUGGGGAGGUAACGGCGCACCAAGGCAACGAUGCGUAGCCGACCUGAGAGGGUGAUCGGCCACACUGGGACUGAGACACGGCCCAGACUCCUACGGGAGGCAGCAGUAGGGAAUCUUCCGCAAUGGACGAAAGUCUGACGGAGCAACGCCGCGUGAGUGAUGAAGGCUUUCGGGUCGUAAAACUCUGUUGUUAGGGAAGAACAAGUGCUAGUUGAAUAAGCUGGCACCUUGACGGUACCUAACCAGAAAGCCACGGCUAACUACGUGCCAGCAGCCGCUGUAA
rnacentral:rRNA from 1 species